rnacentral:piRNA from 3 species
CUGGACUCUGAAUCCAGCGAUCC